AGCAGCCGCCGCGGGAAUACGAGGGGGGCAAGCGUUGUUCGGAAUUAUUGGGCGUAAAGGGUGCGUAGGCGGCUUGACAAGUCUUGUGUGAAAUCUAUGGGCUCAACCCAUAGUCUGCACGGGAAACUGUCGGGCUUGAGAAUGGGAGAGGUGAGUGGAAUUUCCGGUGUAGCGGUGAAAUGCGUAGAUAUCGGAAGGAACACCUGUGGCGAAAGCGGCUCACUGGACCAUUUCUGACGCUGAUGCACGAAAGCUAGGGGAGCAAACAGGAUUAGAUACCCCAGUAGUCCCUGUCUCUUAUAC
rnacentral:rRNA from 1 species